CUACGGGAGGCAGCAGUGGGGAAUCUUGCGCAAUGGGCGAAAGCCUGACGCAGCAACGCCGCGUGCGGGAAGAAGGCCUUCGGGUUGUAAACCGCUUUCAGUAGGGACGAACACAGACGGUACCUACAGAAGAAGCCCCGGCCAACUACGUGCCAGCAGCCGCGGUAACACGUAGGGGGCGAGCGUUGUCCGGAUUUAUUGGGCGUAAAGAGCUCGUAGGCGGCUCAGUAAGUCGGGUGUGAAACCUCCAGGCUCAACCUGGAGACGCCACCCGAUACUGCUGUGGCUAGAGUCCGGUAGAGGAGCGUGGAAUUCCUGGUGUAGCGGUGAAAUGCGCAGAUAUCAGGAGGAACACCAACGGCGAAGGCAGCGCUCUGGGCCGGUACUGACGCUGAGGAGCGAAAGCGUGGGGAGCAAACAGGAUUAGAAACCCCAGUAGUCC
rnacentral:rRNA from 1 species